rnacentral:lncRNA from 1 species
AAUGAAGCCACAGAGAUUUGCUGAUACAUUUGCUAGGCACGACUUCUGGUCAUUUAGAAAGCUAUUUUGUGGCUUCAUCAAUAAGGUAUUCCCCAGCUGUGUUACUCCUUCGCAUUGUUAUCUCUUUCCCUGGAAUUGAAGGCUUCCUGGUCUGAGGCAAGGACAAUUAUUCCCUCACUGUCAACCCUGAUCUCUGGCUGCAGUAAUGAGUAGAGGAAAUGAAGAAAUAAGAAUGGAAGCAUAAUCAUUUGUCCGAGGUCACAGAGGGAGAUGAUUACACAGCUGGAAUAAACUCUCCUCCUUCAAUACCUGACUACUUGCACCAUCCAGCAGAUAUCCUCUACUACCAAGUCUCAACAGAUGGUUCAGCUGGUCUUUAAUGAACAAAAGGCAUUUGUGUAAUGGACUCUUAUUGCUCAAGAAGAAUUUCUUCCUUCCUGAAACAUGAGGAGAAACUGACAAAAACUGUCUCCUUGACCAAACCCUAGUCAGUUGCCUAUAAGCCCUGUAGGCUGUGACCUUAGUGUCUAUCCUUAUCAGACACGCAUUACACAACCAUAGCAACAGUCUUGCUAAGUUGGUUUAACCAGAACCCCUACCCUUGAUAUCUGAUUUAAUUUAUAAUUCCCCUGAGUCCCCGAGGUGACAUCCAUUCAUCCUGGCCAGCUUUCAAUAAGAAUCCUAUUGGAUUAUUUAGCUAGAAAUCACCCCUUACACUUAAUGCUUCCUUUUAGUAAUUUUGCAUCCACUAACCCCGACCUUGCUCGUUGGCUAUAAAUCCACAAGUUGUCCGUGUUGUGUUUGGAAUUGAUUACAAUUCUAUAUUGAGGUCUCUUUUCCCAUAUUGCAAUAGUUCCUGAUUAAAAUCUGCUUUUGCCCAUUGAUAUGGUUUGGUUGUGUACCCACUCAAAUCUCAUCUUGAAUUGUAGCUCCCAUGAUUCCCAUAAUUGAAUCAUGGCAGCAGUUUACCCCAUACUGUUCUUGUGGUAGUGAAUAAGU